GGAUCAGAGAUUGGUUUAUUCUCUCUGAUGGGUCCACCACUGCUUCCUUCACCUUUCGGGCUGGUGUUUAUUGACACAACAUUUAUGGGGCCUUUGUUUAUUGAGAGUGCUUUUGUCAGAUCGUUUAUGUAUGAUACUAACAAAUGUACUCCAUUUUCAUGGGCUUGUGAAGCCUCUUUUAUAUAGUUUAUGAUAUCAAUUAUGUCUGAUGCUUCUGUUGCCAGUCUAUG
rnacentral:lncRNA from 1 species